rnacentral:rRNA from 1 species
AUUGAACGCUGGCGGCAUGCCUUACACAUGCAAGUCGAACGGGAACAGGUCUUCGGAUGCUGACGAGUGGCGAACGGGUGAGUAAUACAUCGGAACGUGCCUAGUAGUGGGGGAUAACUACUCGAAAGAGUGGCUAAUACCGCAUGAGAUCUACGGAUGAAAGCAGGGGAUCGCAAGACCUUGUGCUACUAGAGCGGCCGAUGGCAGAUUAGGUAGUUGGUGGGAUAAAAGCUUACCAAGCCGACGAUCUGUAGCUGGUCUGAGAGGACGAUCAGCCACACUGGGACUGAGACACGGCCCAGACUCCUACGGGAGGCAGCAGUGGGGAAGUUUGGACAAUGGGCGAAAGCCUGAUCCAGCAAUGCCGCGUGCAGGAUGAAGGCCUUCGGGUUGUAAACUGCUUUUGUACGGAACGAAAAGCCCCGGGUUAAUACCCUGGGGUCAUGACGGUACCGUAAGAAUAAGCACCGGCUAACUACGUGCCAGCCGCCGCAGUAA